rnacentral:rRNA from 1 species
GCUCCAAAAGCGUAUAUUAAUAUUGUUGCAGUUAAAAGGCUCGUAGUCGAACUUGUGAACUGUUGUGUACAUUCUAGCAUCUAGUAUGCUACGUAAUGUUACAAACAGGUCAUCCUUCUGGAAGGUAUUACUGCUCUUGAUUGAGUUGGUACUAUUGACCAGAACAUUUACUGUGAGAAAAUCAGAGUGUUCAAAGCAGG